AAGCCGCCGUGUCGACCUCAUCAGGGGUAG
rnacentral:sRNA from 1 species